GAAAUGCGAUAACUAAUGUGAAUUGCAGAAUUCAGUGAAUCAUCGAGUCUUUGAACGCACAUUGCGCCCCCUGGUAUUCCGGGGGGCAUGCCUGUCCGAGCGUCAUUGCUGCCCUCAAGCCCGGCUUGUGUGUUGGGCCCUCGUCCCCCGGCUCCCGGGGGACGGGCCCGAAAGGCAGCGGCGGCACCGCGUCCGGUCCUCGAGCGUAUGGGGCUUCGUCUUCCGCUCCGUAGGCCCGGCCGGCGCCCGCCGACGCAUUUAUUUGGAACUUGUUUUUUUCCAGGUUGACCUCGGAUCAGGUAGGGAUACCCGCUGAACUUAAGC
rnacentral:misc_RNA from 1 species